rnacentral:lncRNA from 1 species
CGGUUAGGUCCUGAAAGACACAAAAGUUAGGGAAAAAAGAAACGAUACCAUUUAGAGAUUUAGUUAAUUGGCUAAUAGAUAUUAAAUUGAAUUUAAAUUCACGAGCACAAAGAGCAUUAUGAAAGGUGGGGGAAGGAGACAGAUUAAUAUCACCAGUUGAAGUGACAUUAACACUGGUUCCUGUAGGAAGAUUGACAGAAAUAGGGUGAGUGAUAGUUGGAGAGCUAGAACUGAAGGAAGAGGCAGAAAUAUGGUGCGUAGCACCAUUGUCUAUUAUCCAAGGGCAGAAUGGUAAAUUGGAAGAGGGAGAAUGGGAUAAACCUGAGAAAGCAAGGGACGUCGGCUGCAGAAGUUCCAUUAAUUGGUUAUAUAGGCAGGAAGAGUUGGGACUGUUUACUGCCGAAGUCGAAUUUGGUUUCUUUUGCUUAUUCGGUCACUAGUCAGGAUACUCAAUGUCUUCGAAGCAUUUGGAACGGGGGUGACUGAUUUUUCCACACUCAGAGCAUAAGGGACUAUCAGGAGGCCAAACCUUCUUAGGAUGGGGCUGAGAUGUAGGAGGUUGACUCAGUGCUUUGGAAAGAAAAGCUGCAGCAACAGAUCGGGAAGGAGACACAUUUAACAGGCUCUGGGUCUCCUCUUGGUGAAUGAUAGCAUAACAACGGGUUAACGACGGCAACGGAUCCACGGCCAAAAUCUAGGAUCUCAAUUGAUGAUAAGAUUCAUUGAGACCCAUUAAAACUGGUACACUUGAUUAGAGGACAGGAGUUCUGAGAAUUUUUUGGCAGCACCGCAGGAGCAUGGAGUGGCCGAUUGAAGAGAGAAAGUUCUUCUAAGAGAGCCUUCAGUUUGCCGUAGUAAUCUGUCACUGAUAGGUUGCAAGAUCUCUUUUUAGACGAAAAAUGGUAGUUCGGUUGCUCAGUUGGAAUCUGGUUUCGAGUUCCGCCCAUCAAUAAAGCUAGAUGUACAGAUUGAAUCUCACAGAAUGCUUACAGAAUUUGUAAAAAUAGUGACGUGGCUGGAGAAAAAAGAGGGAAAUCCUCUAUGUUUUACCUCAUAACCCGCCAAAGCCGACUUCAUUAUCCCCGAAACUGGAUGCGAUAAAAUUGAAAAUUGAAGUGGGGAAAUUAGCUACUCCACUUCAUCUCCAACCUCACGAGCAUCGGAGCUGAGCAUUGGCUAUUUGAGCGAUCGGCAUUCUCUUCUCCAACCACUCUCUUGGAGGAGCUGAUUUCCUUUUCCAAUCGAGUAGCUUCACUCUCUUCUUCAGUCCACUCAAGAGUUGUCUUACCCACAUAUGGAAAUUGCCGAGUCCACUUUCUUCUCUAGCUUUUUUCUUCGAUUUUUCUUUUGG